GGAGUGUUCCUAACAGUUGCUGCAAAGGAGUUCAGAAUGUCAACAACGCUGCUAGAACCACCAAGGACCGCCGAGACACUUGUAAUUGCUUGAAAACAACUGCCAAACAGUAUCAUAUAGUCAAUUUCAGGUUCGCAGCUGAUCUCCCUCGCAUCUGCAGAGUUAAAAUUCCUUACCGUAUUAGCGCCUCCAUUGACUGCUCCAGGUUUGCAUUUUUCACAACCUCGAUCUUGUCUUCGCUAUCGUGUGUGUAAUCGGUUUAUAUAUAUAGUAUUUUUUUCCUACUACUUGAGAAGAGAGUAGACUUUUCUUACUAAUAUUUCCUUCAAUUUUUACGAAGCAGG
rnacentral:lncRNA from 1 species